rnacentral:lncRNA from 1 species
AUAUUUCCAUCGAUAUUUCCGUGUUUUCGGACUACCGAUAUUUCCGAUAUUACCGAUAUUUUCUUCCUUGGUUUUAAUUCACAUAGAUAAGCAAAUUGAAAUCACAACUUAUGAAACGCAAUUAGAAGUAAUCAAAUCAUAUAGCAAGCAUAAUCAUGGUUUCGAAUCCCCCCCUAGCCAAGGGGGUUUAGUUCCUCAUACUUGCAAAUAAACAAAGAUAAAUAAAUUUAAACAUUAAAACAAAGAUAGAAAACACCUAGAAACGCUCCACAAUCCAAGCUCCUUGAAUGGCAUGCACGGCUCCAAGAGUUCUUCCUUCUUCUCCUUUGCAAACUCACGGCACAAGAGGUAUAUUUGGGUGAAUGGUGUAGUGAAAAUAUGGUAGAGGAUGGUGACUAAAUGGUGCAGCAAAGGAUGAUAUUUAUAGGCUGAAAUUCGCAGCCCCUAUGUAGCAAAGGAAAAGGAUUUAAAAGCCUAAUUUGUAUAGGAUAAUAACACACAAUCCUUGAAGGAAAAGGCUAAGGGUUUUAGAAACCAAGGGGGAAAGGAAUAAUCAGGUUUCUAGAAGUUCUAGAAAGGUUUGGGGCGUCACUUUUGUAGGACAAGCGAUAAGGCCUUCUAGAAAGGUUGUUUUGUGGCUGAUUUCUAGAAAAAACAAGGGAUAAGGUGUGGCACCUUUGUAGGAGUGGAUAAGGGCUUCUAGAAACCAAUUUUAAUGUGUCCUAAUCUGAAAAUAAAUCCCCCAUGCAGCUGGAAUUAAAUUAGGAUAAGAUUAGGAUAGGAUAAGAUAAGAUAGGAUAGGAUAGGAUAGGUUUUGGAUAAUGUUUUGGAUAAGGUUUCUUCACUUGAGCUGAUUCUUUGGCUUCAACUUCCCUUCUUCAAGUAGGAAACCUUGUUUGAGUAGGAAAACUUCAAUCUUCUAGGAAUCCAACUUCAACUAGGAAUCCAUCUUCAACUAGGAUUUCAUCUUCAAUUAAGCACUUUCCCACUUCAAUUAGGAAUCUUUGUAUCUUCAAUUCUUCAACUUCAAAACACAUUCCUAGCUUCAUCAAUCCUUCAAAUUCGUCCAUCCCUUGUGCUUCAUGUGCAUGAACUCCAUUCUAGCCCAAUUUUGCUCCAAAAUGCUCCAAAUUGCAUCCUUUUGCUCACUUUGUCUCUAAAACCUGAAAACACAUGAAAAAAUAGCUUAAAAGACUACUUUAACUAAGAAAACACAACAUAAAUGCAUAAGAACUAGCUAACUAAGGUGCAUAAAUAUGCUCCUAUCACGCUCUCCUAUCCACCAUUCUCGAUGAGUUGAGGACACUUUUCGGAAGCAUGUCCUUGGAUAGAACAUACACCACACACCAUGGGUCCUUGAAUCUUCAUUCCCUCGGCCAUCUGUGAAACAAUAGAAGUAAGAUUAGCUAACUGAGAUUGAAUAUUGGAUGUGGAACUUACCUCAUGAACUUGUUGCCGUGGGGGUCCUCUUUGGCCUACGCCCUCGUAUUGUUGAGCGUUCAACGCUCGAUUAGCAAUCAAGAUUUUUGCAGCCAUGGGCGUUUUCUCCACCAAUGCUCCACCCGCCGAAGCAUCGAGCAUAUGACGUUCUAGUGGUAGGAGCCCUUCGUAGAAGUAUUGCAAAAGCAACUCCUCAUUCAUCUGAUGUUGUGGACAAGAAGCAACAAGUGAUUUAAAUCGUUCAUAAUAUGUAGGAAAAGACUCACCUUCAUCUUGUUGAAUUCCACUUAUUUUUUUGCGAAGAAGAAUGAUGCGAGAAGUCGGGAAAAACUUCUCCAGAAACGCCCUCUUCAUACUCUCCCAAGACGUAACUGUUCCGGGAGCCAACUCGUAUAACCAAUCCUUGGCCUUGUCCAUUAAAGAGAAUGGAAAAGCCUUCAUCAUUAAAAUACUUCCAUCAACGUUAACCGGAGUCAUACUUGAGCACACCACUUCAAAUUCUUUCAAAUGUUUGUUUGGAUCCUGAUAGGAGCAUAUUUAUGCGCCUUAGUUAGCCAGUUCUUAUGCAUUUAUGUUGUGUUUUCUUAGUUAAGUUAGUCUUUUAAGCUAUUUUCAUGUGUUUUCAGGUUUUAAGGACAAAGUAAGCAAAAAGAUGCAAUUUGGAGCAUUUUGGAGCAAAAAUUAGCUAGAAUGGAGCUCAUGCAUGUGGAGCACAAAGAAUGGACGAAUUUGAAGGAUUGAAGAGCUAGGAAUGUGUUUCAAAGUUGAAGACUUGAAGAUGCAAAGUUUCCUAAUUGAAGUGGGAAAGUGCUUAAUUGAAGAUGGAUUCCUAGUUGAAGAUGGAUUCCUAGUUGAAGAAUGAUUCCUAGUUGAAGUUGGAUUCCUAGAAGAUUGAAGUUUCCUACUCAAACAAGGUUUCCUACUUGAAGAAGGGAAGUUAAAGCCAAAGAAUCAGCUCAAGUGAAGACACCUUAUCCAAAACAUUAUCCAAACCCUAUCCUAUCCAAUCUUAUCCUAUCUUAUCCUAAUCCUAAUCCACCUAUAUUUCAGCUACUUGGGAGGAUUCCUAGCUAUAUUAGGAUGCUUAAAAUCAGAUUUCUAGAAAACCUAAUCCUUUCCUACAAAAAUGGCGCAUAGGACCUUUCUAGAAGACCUUUGCCUUGCAUUGCAAGUCAGCCACUUUCCCUCCACUUUUAUGCCGUGAGUUUUUACCCAAAUCCCUUGGGAUUUUGGUUUCUAGAAGCCCUUAUCCCUUCCUAGAUAAGUGCCGCACCUUAUCCUCCCAUUCCCUUUGGGUUUCUGAUUUGUUUUCCUUCAAGGAUUGUGUUUUAUUUUCCUAUGCAACUUAGGCCUUUAAAUCCUUUUCCUUUGCUACCUAGGGGCUGUGAUUUUCAGCCUAUAAAUACAACCCUUUGCCGCACCAAUUGAACACCACCCUCUACCAUAUUUUCACUACAUCAUUCACCCAAUCAUCCCUCUUGUGCCGUGAGCUUGCAAAGGAGAAGGAAGGAGACUCUUGGAGCCGUGCAUGCCAUUCAAGGAGCUUGGAUUGUUGGAGCGUUUCUAGGUGUUUUCUAUCUUUAUGUCAAUGUUUAGAUUUAUUUAUCUUUGUUUAUUUGCGAACAUGAGGAACUAAUUUCUUUAUAGUUAGAGGGGAAUUCAAAGCCAUGAUCAUAUGUUUUAUAUGACUUGAUUUCCUCCAGUUAUGAUUUCAUGAAUCGUGAAUGUGGUUUACUUAUCUAUUUGAUUGAUAACAUGUUUAUGUAUGUUGAUUGAAGGAUGCAUACUUAGUUCGCAUGCAUGAAUUUGACGCUAGAGUAUAAGGGAAUUUCACCUAAUCGUUAUUAACUUAUAUUCAUAAGUAGUAAAAGUCGCUAGUCACGAUUGUGUUAAGUAAAUCCUUGGCAAGAGUAACAUGCGUAUUCCAUAGUUAUGAAUGCCUAGUCAAUGUUUAUGAUUUCCAUUGAACUUAAUGAUCUUUGAUAUGUGUCUCUAUCAUGCGUAUUCCAUAGUUAGGGUCCUUGAUAAGAAUAAUUUGGUUGUAAUGUGUAUUCCAUUCAAUUCAAUGAAUCUAGGGAAAUCUGAGAAUUAAUUGGUGCAAUCUAGUUAAUUUGGAACAUUGUCAUUCAUGGUUUGUUGGAAGAGUAACUGGAAAUCGAGUCGUAUGCAUAUGUUUCAUGUGUGGAGAAGGAACCCUCUAACUAGCCUUUCACCAUUCUUUUUCAUCCAAAAUCGUUUUUGUUAAGCUUGUUUUCAAAGUCCAAUUUCGUCAAAACCAACCCCCUUACUUUUAAGUCUUGUUUUUAGAGUCAAAACUUGUUUCUUUUAAGUCUUUUAAGUCUUUGAAGUUCUAUUUUCGUCCAAAUCACUUGUUAGGUCUAGAAUUGAGUCUUUUUGGUUGUUAUUUGCUGUUUUGAGUGUUUUGAGUCUAUAGAGUCUAGUUUAGUGUUUUUGAGUCUUAUUUGUGUUGAUUAGCAUCCCUAGUUAAUCCCCGGUCUAGAACGAUCCCUACUUGCAUCAUUACUACAAUUGUCAUCAAUAGGGUUUAAUUUGUGUGUCAACUUAAUUUUCACAUCAGAUCCUCCAUGGACAGCCCAUGGAACUUUGGAAUGUGGUGGAGCAAACUUGACUUAAGCUCGAACUCUUCGGUUUUACCUUGGGCAGCCAUGGGAUAUUGGAUACACAAUGGUGCGGCAUUAUCCAAACCCGAGGCGGAAAGCUCCUUGAGUGUACGGUUGUCCAUGGCCAUGCCUUGAACUUCUCCACCCACUUGUGCCGUGGGAUCCUCCUCUACUUCUAGAACUUGUUCUUCAAGGUCAGGUUCCGGGCUAGGUGGGUUAGACUCUUGUUGGUUCCUCCUUCUUCUCAAAGUUCACUCGAAAUCGUCGUCGAAGUCCAAAAUAUGCUCACGAACAGGUUUGGAACUUCGAGUCAUGCACUAGUACCUAAAAAACAAAGAAACAAAACAAGUUAGCAAUCUGCAAUAGGAAACAAACGAAAAUAAAAAAUAAACAAAAAGAACGAGGGAUUAGCAAAGUUGCUAAUCUCCGGCAACGGCGCCAAAUUUUGAUGCGUAAAAUAACUAAACACACAAAUUAACCCUCUUGUUGACAAUUGUAGUAUGGAUAAGUAGGGAUCGUUCUUAAACCGGGGAUUAUGAGGGAUUGCUAAAACACUCUAAACUGACUCAAAUCUGUAAAACAAAGUUUAAAAUACUAAACUAGACUCAAAGAAUGCAAAACUAAAAUCUAAAACACUAAAACAAACCAAAAGACUCAAAACAGCAAACAAACACUCAAAACUGCCUUAAAACCACUUUCUGGGCAGUUUUGGGACUCUAACACAACUUGGACGAAUUUUGGUUUCCUAAUGACCUAAAACACCUAAAAACAUAUUCUAAGACAAGUUCUAAGUAAUAUGACUUAAAGGAAUAAGGUGGGAUUGAUUUUGGACGAAAAUAAUUAAAUGGGCAGAUUGAAAAAGAAAACAGAUUGUAAGACAAAAUUGUGAUGAAUCAAUGGAUGAUGGAAUAGCUAAGGGGUUCUUCUCCACACAUGAAAUAUAUGCAACGUAAAUCAAUUUCCAGUUAUCAAUUUAAUAAGUUGUGAACGUCGACACUCCAAGUUAAUUAGGUCCGCUUAAAUUAACCUUCAGAUUUCCCUAGAAUCAUUGAAUUGGAUGAAUAUGCAUCGCAAACAAAUUAUUCCUAACAAGUUCUCUAUACGAACAGCAUGAUAAAGACACAAGUUAGAAUCAUUACGUUCUUUGGAAAUAAUAAGCAUCGACAAGGCAUUUGUAACUAUGAAAAGCAUGAUACUCUUGCCAGGAAUCUACUUAACACGAUCGUGACUAGCGACCUUCACUACUUGCGAAUAUAAAUUCAUAACGAUUAGGUGAAACAAACUUAUAUCCUAGCACCAAAUUCAAGCAUGCAAAUUAAGCGUGCACUCUCAAUCAACAUACAAGAAUAAGUUCUAAAUCAAACAGUUAAGCAAAUUGUAUUCACGACUUAUGCAACGAUAACUGAAAGUAAUCAACUUAUUUUACGUAUAUAAUCAUGGUUUUGAAUACACCCUUAGCCAAAACAAAUUUAUCCAAUCAUACUCAAAGCAAAACAAAGAUUACAUGAAUUAGACAUUGAAAUAUAAGAUAAAAUACACCUAAAAUUGUUCAACAACUCAGAAUGAAGAGCCAAACAAUUGAGUGAAUCUGUCCCCUUUCCUUGCUUGCGGCAGAUUGGAUGUUGGUGGUUUCUUGGGUUAUUGAAUGAUGUAGAAUGGAUGGAGGACGUAUGGAAGUGUUUAGGGUUGAUGGGUGGUGCGGCUAGGGUGGUUUUGGGUCAGAAAAUAUGGUGAAUGGUGAAGGAAUGGGGCUGUUGAAGAUGGAGUUCAAUUUCUGGCGUGAAUGGUCAGUUUCUGGAUGAAUGGGGAUGUUUUUAGCUGCACCAGGAUGAGUUUAUUUAAAGGGAUUAGGAAAUUAAAAACCCUAGACUAUUUUGGUAAACAGAAAUUAAGUCAAAAGCUUCUAGAAAUAGGAAAUUAAAUAAGAAACUUAAGGGAAAGUCAAGGGAUAUGCGGCAACACCUUGAAACACAUUAGGAAUGUGUUUUAAUGCAUAAAAUCAGGAAAGAACCCUCUCCCUUGCACGGCAAGGAAGAGGAAAGGGCAAGAAACCUUCACAAGGUGCGGCAAGGCUUUAGGAAAGGUCUAAGUGUCCUAAAACUAAUGGAAAAAGGGAUCCCUUGCAAGGCAAGGAAAGGGAAAAUUGGGAAAGGUGCGGCAAGGCUUUACAAUGUGCAAGAGAGGUGUAUUUGAUGUCCUAGAAUGCUUAGGAUGCCUUCAAAGUUGAUAAAUCUUAGGAACAUUUAGGAAAGGUCAAACCAAAGUAGGAAACCUUGGCUUAACUUUCCUAUUUCAAGUAGGAAUCCUUCUUGGAGUAGGAAUCCUUGUUCUUCUAGGAAUCCUCAUGUGAUUAGGAAUCCAUCUUCAAUUAGGAAUCCUUCGUCGAUUAGGAAUCCUUCUUCGAUUAGGAAUUCUUGGUUGAUUAGGAAUCCUAAUUUCUUCAAGUCUUUAAUUCAUCCAUUCCUUUUGCUCCAAGCAUGUGAUAAUCAUUCCAAGCUCCAUUUUGCUCCAAAAGGCUCCAAAAUGCAUACUUUGCCUUUAGAAUCUGAAAACACACAAAAGUAACUUUAAACACUAAAAUAGCUAACGAAACAUAACAUAAAUGCACGAGAACAAGCCAAUUAAGUCGCAUAAAUAUGCUCCUAUCAGGCCUCCCAAGUAGGAUCGACAAUGGGGUAACAUUGGGUGAAUCCUCAAUCUCUAAAACAUAGAAAUCUGUUGGGAAUAUCAAGUUAUCUACCUGCACCAAAACAUCUUCCAAAACUCCUUUCGGAUAUGCAUUAUAACGAUCGGCUAAUUGAAUUAUGACACCAUCGUUUUUAAGCUCUCCUAAGUUCAUAGAUGCAUAGUUGAGUAUGGCAUGACAUUAAUUGAAGCUCUUAAGUCUAAAAUAGCAUGUUCAAACUUAGUAUUGCAAAUAACACAAGGAAUUGUAAAACUACCUGGAUCUUUGCAUUUAGGGGGUAAUUUCCUUUGCACAACAGCAAAAACAUUUUCACUUACCUGGACAACCUCUUUGUUUGAAAUUCUCCUCCUUGUUGUACAAAGCACUUUCAAAAAUUUGGUGCGAAAAUUAACUUAACACACAAAUUAAACCCUCUUUUGACAUUUGUAGUAUAUGUAUAAGUAGGGAUUGUUCUUAAAUCGGGGAUUAUGAGGGAUUGCUAAUCGACUCUAAACUGACUCAAAGACACAAAAACAAACUAAAAAUGUUUAGAUAGACUCAAAAGAUUCAAAACAAGUUCACAAGACUCAAAAUAAGCUAAAAAAACUCAAAACUGCCUAAAAACACAAACUAGGUAGUGUUUGACACUAAACAUAAUUUUGGACGAAAAUUGGUUUUAUCUUAACUCCAAACACUUAAAAACACAACUAGGACAGAUUGUAACUAAUUAGACACACUAAAGUAAAGGGAGAUUGGGUUUUGGAUGGAAAUAAAGUAAAACUAAGCAGAAAUUAAAACUAGGCAGAUUUGCACGAAUUUGGCAAAAAAAUAUGGAUGAUGGGCUAGCUAGAAGGUUAUUCUCCACACAUGACACUUGCAUACAAAACGAUUUCCUGUUGCUUCUCAAUAAACCAUGAACCUCAAUACCCCAGGUUAAGUAGGUACGCUUAAAUUAACCCUCAGAUUUUCCUUAUGUCAUUGAAUUGGAUGGAAAUAGUGCAUCGCAAUCAAAUUAUUCUUCAAAAGUUCCCUACAUGAAAGCGCAUAAUAGAGAUACAAUCAAAGAUCAUUAAGUUAUAUGAAAAUCAUAAGUACUGACAAGGCAUUCGUUACUAUAAAAGCGCAUGAUACGUAUGCCAGGAAUUUACUUAACACGAUUGUGACUAGCAACCUCAUUUACUUAACACGAUUGUGACUUGCAACCUCCACUACUCAUGAAUAUAAGUUUGUAACGAUUAGGUGAAACUCCCUUAUAUCCUAGCAUCAGAUUUAUGCAUGUAAAUUAAGUGUGCACUCUCAACUCACAUACACAAACAAAUUUUAAUUCAAGCAGAUAAGUAAAUUGAAUUCACAAUUUAUGGAAUCACAACUGGAUGUAAUCAAAUUAUAUUGCAAGUAUAAUCAUGGUUUCAAAAUUCCCCCUAGCUAAGAGGGGUUUAGUUCCUCAUACUCACAAAAUGAUGUGAAAAUUAUGUUGACACACAAAUUAACCCUCUUGUUGACAAUUGUAGUAUGGAUAAGUAGGGAUCAUUCUUAAACCGGGGAUUAGGAGGGAUUGCUAAAACACUCAAACUGACUCAAAUAUGUAAAACAAGGUUUAAAACACUCGACUAGACUCAAAGAAUGCAAAACUAAACUUUAAAACACUAAAACAAAUCAAAAGACUCAAAACAGCACCAAAACACUCAAAACUGCCUUAAAACACUUUCUGGGCAGUUUUGGGACUCUAAUGCAAACUUGGACGAAUUUUGGUUUUCUAAUGACCUAAAACACUUAAAAACAUAAUCUAAGACAAGUUCUAACUAAUAUGACUCAAAGAAAUAAAGUGGGGUUGAUUUUGGACGAAUUUAAAUUAAAUGGCAGAUUGUAAAGAAAACAGAUUGUAGACAAAAUUGUGAUGAAUCAAUGGAUGAUGGAAUGGCUAAGGGGUUCUUCUCCACACAUGAAAUAUAUGCAACGUAAAUCAAUUUCCAGUUAUCAAUUCAAUAAGUUAUGAACCUCGACACUCCAAGUUAAUUAGGUCCGCUUAAAUUAACUUUCAGAUUUCCCUAGAAUCAUUGAAUUGGAUGAAUAUGCAUCGCAAACAAAUUAUUCCUAACAAGUUCUCUAUAUGAACAGCAUGAUAAAGAUACAAGUUAGAAUCAUUACGUUCUUUGGAAAUCAUAAGCAUCGACAAGGCAAUUGUAACUAUGAAAAGCAUGAUACUCUUGCCAGGAAUCUACUUAACACGAUCGUGACUAGCGACCUUCACUACUUGCAAAUAUAAAUUCAUAACGAUUAGGUGAAACAAACUUAUAUCCUAGCACCAAAUUCAAGCAUGCAAAUUAAGCGUGCAUUCUCAAUCAACAUACAAGAAUAAGUUCUAAAUCAAACGGUUAAGCAAAUUGUAUUCACGACUUAUGCAACGAUAACUGGAAGUAAUCAACUUAUUUCACAUAUAUAAUCAUGGUUUUGAAUACACCCUUAGCCAAAACGAAUUUAGCCAAUCAUACUCAAAGCAAAACAAAGAUUACAUGAAUUAGACAUUGAAAUAUAUAAGAUAGAAUACACCUAAAAUUGUUCAACAACUCAGAAUGAAGAGCCAAACAAUUGAGUGAAUCUGUCCCCUUUCCUUGCUUGCGGCAGAUUGGAUGUUGGUGGUUUCUUGGGUUAUUGAAUGAUGUAGAAUGGAUGGAAGACGUAUGGAAGUGUUUAGGGUUGAUGGGUGGUGCGGCUAGGGUGGUUUUGGGUCAGAAAAUAUGGUGAAUGGUGAAGGAAUGGGGCUGUUGAAGGUGGUGUUCACUUUCUGGCGUGAAUGGGUAUUUUCUGGGUGAAUGGGAGAUGAUGAUCUGAUCUAGGGGUUAUAAUGAGUAUAUAUAGGCAUCCAAAACCCUAGGGUAAUCAGAUUAGGGUUUCUAGAAGCCCAAAUCCACCAGAAAUUAGGUUAAAACAAUCAGAUUUUUAGUGGGAAUAAGGCCUAAGGUGCGGCUAGGGUUAGGGUUUAGAGAUGGGCCUUCUAGAAUGCCUUGCAAGGCAAGGAAAUCAGAUAUUUGAUAUGAAAAUUAACUUGACACACAAAUUAAACCCUAUGGAUGACAAUUGUAGUAUAUGAGCAAAUAGGGAUCGUUCUAGACCGGGGAUUAACUAGGGAUGCUAAUCUAUGUAAAACUGACUCAAGAACAUAAAAUUAUAAUGUAGGACACUAAACUAGACUCAAUUAAUGCAAAACUAGAAUUUAAAACACCUAAACAAACUAAAAACUCAAAACAGCAACUAGAAGGCUCAAAACUGCCUUAAAACCACUUUCUGGGCAGUUUUGAGUACCUAACACUAGUUUGGACGAAUUUGGACUAUGACUUGACUCAAAACACUUAAAAACACAACUAAAUGGAUCUCUAACUAAUCUAACACUUUAAAAUAAAUGGGGGAAUGAUUUUGACGAAAAUUGAAACUUUACAACUUAAACUUUGAAAACAAACUUAAAGCAAAACAGAUUGUGAUGAAAUAGAAUGGUGAGAAGCUAGUUAGAGGGUUCCUUAUCCACACAUGAACAUAUGCAUACAACUCAAUCUCCAAUUACUCUUUCAACAAACCAUGAAUGACAAUGCCCCAAAUUAACUAGAUUGCACCAAUUAAUUCUCAGAUUUCCCUAGAUUCAUUGAAUUGAAUGGAAUACGCAUUACAACCAAAUUAUUCUUAUCAAGGACCCUAACUAUGGAAUACGCAUGAUAGAGACACAUAUCAAAGAUCAUUAAGUUCAAUGGACAUCAUAAGCAUUGACGAGGCAUUCAUAACUAUGGGAUACGCAUGUUACUCUUGCCUAGGAUUUACUUAACACAAUCGUGACUAGCGACUUUCACUACUUACGAAUAUAAGUUAAUAACGAUUAGGUGAAAUUCCCUUAUACCCUAGCAUCAAGUUUAAGCAUGCAAAUUAAGUGUCGACCCUCAACCCACAUACAUAAACAAGUUAUCAAUCAAAUAGAUAAGUAAAUCACAUUCACAAUUUCUGAAAUCAUAAUUGGAAGAAAUCAAAUCAUAUAAAACAUAUGUCCAUGGCUUCAAAUUCACCUCUAACUAAAAAGAAAUUAGUUCCACAUGUUUAACAUAAUUGAACAGCAAGUUAAAUUAAACAUGAAAACAGAAGCAAGGGAAGAAAGAACUCUAGAAACUCCAAUGGUUGAAGAUUGCAUGCGGCAAAGCCUUCCUCCUCUCCUAAGGUCACGGCAAAGCUCCUCUCUUUGGUGGAAUGGAUGUGUUGCGGCAAAAGGAUGGGGGAAGGUUAGAAAAUAUGGAAGAAUGGUGGUAGAUGGCUUGCGGCAAGGAAGAAAAAUGGCUAGAAUUGUGUUUUUGGGAUUUUCCGAUGUGUAGAUGGUGUGGCUGAAAGUAUGGACGAAAAUUCUGAAUAUGGAGAGGGUCUCCCUGGCCAAGGGAGGUAAAACACAUAUAUAUAGGCAGCCAAACCCUAAAGAAAUCAGGUUAGACAAAUGGGCUAGGGUUUAGGUGCGGCUAGGGUUAGGAAAUCCACCAAAAACUAGGGUUUCUAGAACAUUAGGUGCGGCAUGGGCUUAGGGUAAGUAAUCAGAUUUUUUUCAUGUGAACAAGGCCUAAGUGCGGCUGAUUAAGUGGGCUAGGGUUAGGGUUAGGUGCGGCAUAGGUCCAAGAGGCAAAGAUGGGUCAUCCAAAAGCCCAAAGUCAAGAAUAGAAACUCUCGAAAAUGGAAACCUCCAAGAAUAGAAACUUCCAACUUUAGAAACUUUAGUUGCCAAUUCCGACUUCUUUGUUCUUUACUUUCAUUUCUUCAUUUCUUAAGCUCCCUCGACCUUCAAACUCGUCCAUUCUUCGUGCUCCAUUUGCAUACACCACAUUUCAGCUCACUUUUGCUCCAAAAACACCAAAUUGCAUCAUUUCGUGUAAUAUGUCUUUUAACCCUGAAAACACAUGAAAGUAGCUUAAAAGACUACUUUGACGAAGAAAACAUAACAACAAUGCAUAAGAACUAGCUAACUAAGGCGCAUAAAUAUGCUCCUAUCAAUAUUCUAGAGGCCUAGGUGCGGCUAGGGUUAGGGUCCACAAGGAAUUAGGGUUUAGGUCAUCUAAAAGCCCAAAGCCAAGAAUAGAAACUCUCGAAAAUGGAAACCUCCAAAAAUAGAAACUUCCAACUUUAGAAACUUUGGUUUCCAAAUCUGAAUUCUUUGUUCUUCACUUUCAUUUCUUCAUUUCUUAAGCUCCUUUGACCUUCAAACUCGUCCAUUUCUUGUGCUCCAUUAGCAUACACUUCAUUCCAGCUCAAUUUUGCUCUAAAAUGCUCCAUUUUGCACUUCUUUGCAUACUUCGUCUGUAAACCUGAAAUUGCACGAAAAUGACUUUAAACACUAAAAUAACUAAAGAAAAACAACAUAAACUUUGCCAACUAAGUCGCAUAAAUAUGCUCAUAUCACAAAACAAAGAUUAUUGAACUUAAACAUUGAAAACAAAAGAAAGAUUACACCUAAAACGUUCCAGCAACUCUAACUUGAAUGGCAAGCACGUCCAAGGGCUCUCCUUCUUCUUCUUUGCUGCGGCACAAGGUGUGGUUGAUGGUUUGAGGGGUGGUUUGUAUGAAAGAAUGGCUGAAAGUAUGUAUGGUGGUGAAUGGGUCAAUGGAAGGUGAUACGAAAAUUAACUUAACACACAAAUUAAAUCCUCUUGUUGACAAUUGUAGUAUGGAUAAGUAGGGAUUGUUCUUAAACCGGGGAUUAUGAGGGAUUGCUAAACACUCUAAACUGACUCAAAGACACAAAACAAACUAAAAACGUUUGGAUAGACUCAAAAGAUUCAAAACAAGUUCACAAGACUCAAAAUAAGCUAAAAACACUCAAAACUGCCUAAAAACACAAACUAGGCAGUUUCUGAUUCUAACACAACGUUGAUGCGAAAUAUAUAAGCACACAAAUUAAACCCUCUUUUUAUCAAUUGUAGCAAAGUAUGCAAGUAGGGAUCGUUCUAGGCCGGGGAUUAGGAGGGAUUGCUAAAUGAUGCGAAAUAGAUUAAGACACAAAUUAAACCCUCUUUUGUCAAAUUGUAGUAAAUAUGUAAGUAGGGAUCGUUCUAAACCGGGGAUUAGGAGGGAUUGCUAAUCUCUUGAAAACUGACUCAAUAAUGUAAAAACAAAGUUUAAAACACUAAACUAGACUCAAAGAAUGUAAAAUUAAAAGUUAAAACACCAAAACAAAGCAAAGGAACCAAAACAGCAAAUAAACACUCAAAACUGCCUUAGAAGCACAAUCUGGGCAGUUUUGAGUACUAACACAAAUUUGGACGAAUUUAUGUUAUAACUUGACUCAAAACACUAGAAAACAUAAACUAACACACUUUCUAACUAAUCUAGGACUCUAAAAUAAAGGGGGAUUUUGUUUUGACGAAAAUUAAAAUAAAGAAAACAGAUUGGAAAUAGGGCAGAUUGUAAAAACGAUUUUGGUGAAAUAGAUGGGUAGAAGGCUAGUUAGGAGGUUCUUCUCACACAUGACACACUUGCAAACAAAACGAUUUUCAGUUGUUCUUCCAAUAAAUUAUGAAACUCAACACCCCAAGUUAAUUAGAUACGCUUAAAUUAACCUUCAAGUUCUCCUUAAGUUAAUGAAUCGGAUGGGAAAGCGUAUACAACAAUUCAAAGCAUUCCUCAAAGGUUCCUUACGUGAUGAGCACAAUAAAGAUACAAUCAAGAAUCAUGGAGCACAAUGAGAACUAUAAGUGUUGACGAGGCAUUCGUUACUAUCAUGAGCAUGAAACUAGUGCCAAGAAUUCAUUCAACGCGAUCGUUUUCAAGCGACCUUCACUACUUGUGAUUAUAAGAUUGUAACUAUUAGGUGAAACUCCCUUAUAAUCUAGCGUCAUAUUCAUGCAUGAAAACUAAGCGUGCACUCUCAAUCAACAUACACAAAUAAGUUAUCAAUCAAGUAGAUGAACGAAUUGAAUCCACAACUUAUGAAAUAACAACUGAAUGUAAUCAAAUCAUAUUGCAAGCAUGUACAUGGUUUCGAAUCACCCCCCAACUAAGGGGGUUUAGUUCCUCAUACUCACAACACAAAGUUUGUUGAAUUGAAACAUUGAAAACAUAAGAAGAUCACACCUAAAAAUUCCAGCAAUCUAAAUUGCACAGCAGGAACGUCUAAGAACCUUCCUCCUCUUCCUUGGUUGCGGCCCAGGGGUUUGUGAUGGUUUUUGGGGGUUAUGGAUGGUGUAGAAUGGUGGAAAAGUGUGUAGGAUAGGUGUAUGGGACGGCUAGGGUGGUUUUGGGUCAGAAAAUAUGGUGAAUGAUGAAGGAUAGGUGCUGUUGAAGAUGGAGAAUGGUUUCUGGCGUGAAGGAUUAUUUUCUGGAUGAAUGGUCCCCUUUGUGGCUGCACAAGGAUGUUUAUUUAAAGGGAUUUAGGAAAUUAAAAACCCUAGGCUAAUUAGGUAAUCAGGAAUUAAGUUUAAAGCUUCUAGAAUUAAGGAAACAAAUCAGAAAAUUAAAAGGAAAGGUCAAGGAAAUUCGGCCAGGGUUUAUAGCAUAAAAAGGAAGGUGUUUUAAUGCUCCAAAACAGGAAAGAGCCGUCUCCCUUGCACGGCAAGGAAGAGGAAAGGGCAAGGGAGUGUGGCAAGGGGUCCAUAAGGGUUCUAGGCUUUUGUUUUGUGUCCUAGAAUGCUUAGAAAAUCUUCAUAAUUGCUGGAACUUUUAGGGACAAUUAGGAAAAAUCAAACCAAAGUAGGAAACCUUGGCUUAACUUUCCUACUUCAAGUAGGAAUCCUUGUUGGAGUAGGAAUCCUUGUUCUUCUAGGAAUCCACAUGUGAUUAGGAAUCCGUCUUCAAUUAGGAAUCCUUCGUUGAUUAGGAAUCCUCCUUCAUGUAAGCACUUUCCUACUUCAACUAGGAAACCUUGUUCAAGUAGGAAUCAUCAUCUUCAAGCCUUCAAAUUCGUCCAAACCUUGGCUCCAAAUAUGUGACAUGCAUUCCAAACUCCAUUUUGCUCCAAAAAGCUCCAUUUUGCUUCUUUUUGCACACUUUGACCUUAGAACCUGAAAACACACAAAAGUGACUUUAAACACUAAAAUAGCUAAGUAAACACAACCUAAAUGCACGAGAACAAGCCAAUUAAGUAGCAUAAAUAUGCUUUCUAUCACUAAAACACUUAAAACUGACUCAAAAACGUAAAACAAAGUUUAAAACACUGAACUAGACUCAAAGAAUGCAAAACAGCGCAUAAACACUCAAAACUGCCUUAAAAACACAAUCUGGGCAAUUUUGAACACCAAACACAAAAUUGGACGAAACUAGGUUAUAACUUGACUCAAGACACUUAAAAAACAAACUAAAUUGAUUUCUAACUAAUCUAACACUUUAAGAUAAAUGGGGAUUUGGUUUUGACGAAAUUGAAAACAAAACAAAAUUUUUUUAAACUAAAACAGAUUUGAAAACGAAAUUGAUUUAAAUGAAUGGAUGGAAAGCUAGCUAAGGGGUUCUUCUCCACACAGGUCACACUUGCAUACAAAACGAUUUCCAAUUGCUUUUCGAUAAACCAUGAAUUCCCAACACCCCAAGUUAAUUAGGUACACUUAAAUUAACUUUCAGAUUUCCCUUUAGUCAUUGAAUUGAAUGGAAAUAGCGCAUCGCAAUCAAAUUAUUCCUUAAAAGUUACCUACAUGAAAGCGCAUAAUAGAUAAACAAUCAAAGAUCAUUAAGUUCUAUGGAAAUCAUAAGCAUUGGCGAGGCACUUGUUACUAUGAAAGCGCAUGAAACUUAUGCUAAGAAUUUACUUAACACGAUUGUGAUCAGCAACCUUUACUACUUGUGAAUAUAAGUUUAUAACGAUUAGGUGAAACUCCCUUAUAUCCUAGCAUUAAACUUAUGCAUGAAAAUCAAGGGUGCACUCUCAACCAACAUACACAAAUCAGUUUUAAUUCUUAUAGAUAAGUAAAUUGAAUUCACAACUUAUGAAACGCAAUUAGAAGUAAUCAAAUCAUAUAGCAAGCAUCAUGGUUUCGAAUCCCCCCCUAGCCAAGGGGGGUUUAGUUCCUCGUACUCGCAAAACAAAGAUACAUAAAUUUAGACAUUAAAAUUCAAAGAAAGAAAACACCUAGCUGAUCCAACUUGGACAGCAGGUGCAUCCACGAAUCCUCCUUCCUCCUUGCUGGGGCACAAAGGUUAGUGACAGGUUUUGGGUGGUAUUUGUGGUGUAGAAUGGAUGGGGAAUGGUAUGGUAGGGUUUAGGAUUGGUGGGUGGUGCGGCAAGGGGUGUUUAUGGGCAGGAAUUAUGGUGAAUGGUGGUGGAAGGCUGCGGCAGAGAGUGGCUUUGUGUUUCUGGCGUGAAUGAUGUGAAUGAGAGGUGGUUAUUCAGCCAAGGGGUGAAUGAGAGUAUAUAUAGGCACUUAAAACCCUAGGGUAAUCAGAUAUGGACUUGGAUAACCCAAAUCCACAAGGAAAAAGGUUUAAACAAUCAGAAUUUUCAAGGGAAAAGGCCUAAAGGUGCGGCAGAUAAGGGAUAAGGAGGAUAAGGCUUCUAGAAUGCCUUGCAAGGCAAGGCAAAAGGUUCUAACAAGGGAGAUGUGCGGCAGGUUUAUGGGAGUAUAGAUAGGGCUUCAAGAAAGCCCAAAACCAAGAGGAAAUAAGCCCUAACGCACGGCAAGGAUAAGAAAAUAUUCUAGAACCUUUCUUUGUGUCUUCCAACGCUUAGGAACCUUCUAAUGUUGCUAAAACUCAAGGCCAUCUAGGUUUAGGAAAAAUCAACCCAAAAUAGGAAACUUUUAGGCUUGACUUUCCUACUUCAAGUAGGAAACCUUGUUUGAGUAGGAAUCUUCAUUCUUCUAGGAAUCCAUCUUCAACUAGGAAUCCCUCGUUGAUUAGGAAUCCUUCGUGGAUUAGGAAUCCUUCUUUAAUUAGGACUCCUCAAAACUUCAAUUUUGUCCCAACCUUGUGUUCCAAGCAUGUGCUAUUCAAUCCAAGCUCACUUUUGCUCCAAAAAGCUCCAAAUUGCAUCUUUUUAUGUAAUAUGCCCUUAAAACCUGAAAACACAUGAAAAUAGCUUAAAAGACUACUUUAACUAAGAAAACAUCACGAAAAUGCAUAAGAACUAGCUAACUAAGGCGCAUAAAUAUGGUCCUAUCAAACGUGUGGACGAAUUUCGGUUUUAUAUUGGCUUAAAACACAUAAAAACACAAACUAAAUAGAUUCUAACUAAUUAGACACUCUAAAGUAAAGGGGGAUUUGGUUUUGGACGAAAAUAAAGUAAAACAAGGCAAGAACUAAAACUAGACAGAUUUGCACGAAAUUGGUUGAAUUAGAUGGAUGAUGGGCUAGCUAGGUUCUUCUCCACACAUGACACACUUGCAUUUGAAUUGAUUUCCAAUUGUCUCUUUCAAUAGACCAUGAAACUCAAUAGCCCAGGUUAACCGUGACAACACUUUUUUAACCUUCAAGUUUUCCUUAAGUUCUUGAAUUGGAUGGGAAAGCACAUACAAUGAUUCAAAACAUUCUCUAAAAGUCCCCUACGGGAAAAGCACAAUAAAGGUACAAUCAAAUAUCAUUAAGCUUCAUGAAAACUAUAAGCAUUGACGACGCAUUCGUAACUAUGAUGAGCAUGAUAGUUUUGCCAAGAAUUCACUUAACGCGAUCAUUUAUAAGCGACUUCCACUACUUGUAAAUAUAAGUUUGUAACUAUUAGGAUAAACUCCCUUAUAUUUUAGCUUCAAAUUCCUGCAUGAAAACUAAGUGUGCAAUCUUAAUAAACAUACAAGAAUAAGUUAUCAAUCAAACGGUUAAGCAAAUUGAAUACACAACUUAUCAAAAUAACUACUGAAGGAAAUCAAUUCAUAAUGCAAGUAUAAUCAUGGUUUUGAAUAGCCCCCUAGCCAAGAAGGGCUUAGUUCCUCAUAAUCGCAAAACAAAGAUAAAUAGAUUUAUACAUUGGAAACAAAAGAAAGAAAACACCUAAAACGCUCCAAUGAUCCAACUUGGAAAGCAAGCACAUCUAGGCACUUUCCUUCCUUUCCUUUGCUGCGGCACAAGGUGUUGGUGAUGGUUUGAAGGGUUGUUUGUAUGGAAGAAUGGGUGGAAACAUGUAUGGUGGUGUUUUGGAUGGAUAAAGGUUGCGGCAAAGGUGUAUGGAAAGGUUUUUGAUGGUUUAUAGAUGCGGCUAGGGUGUAUGGAAGUAGAUGAUGAUGAAUGGUGAACGAUUGACUCUACUGGGGUGUAUAUUUAAGGACUUUAGGGUAAUUAAGGCUAGGAAAUAAUUUAGGUAACUGAGAGGAGCAUAUUUAUGCGACUUAGUUAGCUUGUUCUUGUGCAUUUUUGUUAUUAUUCUUUAGUUAUUUUAGCGUUUAAAGUCAUUUUCGUGCAAUUUUAGGUUUAUAUGGCAAAGAAGUGCAUUUGGAGCCUUUUUGGAGUAAAAGUGGGCUUGGAGUGGAUGACACAUGCUUGGAGCUAAAGGAAUGGACGAAAUUGAAGACCUAAAGAUAUGAAGAUUCCUAAUUAAAAGAGGAUUCCUAGAAGAAUAAGGAUUCCUACUUGAAGUAGGAAAGUUAAGCCAAGGUUUCCUAUUUUGGGUUAAUCUUUCCUAAUCCUAAAUGGCCCUAAGUUCCAGCAACAUUGAAAGUUCCUAUGCAUUGUAGGACAUAAACCAAAGGUUCCUUACACCAUUCAAAGCCUUGCGGCACCACCUUUCCCUUUCCCUUUUCAUUCCUCUUCCUUGCCGUGCAAGGGAGAGCCCUUCUUCCCUUUUCCUUGUUUCACAUACCCUUUUUCCUUCCCUCAACAUUCCAGCCGCAUAUCCCCUUACCUUUUCCUUAGGAUUUUGACUUUAAUUCCUAUUUCCCUUUAUGUUUUGGUUUAAUUUCUGUUAACUAAAUUAUUUCCUAGUCGUAAUUACCCUAAAGUCUUUAAAUAUUCACCCUAGCUGCAUCUAUGGAUUAUCAUUCACCAUUCUACACAUCUAUCCCCUUCCAGCCGCACCCAUUCACCACUCAUCACGCCAUUCACCCAUUAUUCAGCCAUACAUCCAUCUAUAUACAUCCAGCCUCACUUCCUACACAACCUUAAUCCAUCAUUCCGUACAUCUAACCAUCAAAACCGUCAUCCAUCCCUUGUGCCGCAGCAAAGGAUGGGAAGGAAAGUUCUUGGACGUAUUGCUGAAGCGUUUAGGUGUUUUCUUUCUUUUGUUUUCAAUGUAUAAAUCUGUUUACCUUUGUUUUGUGAACAUGAGUGGCUAAACCCGUUCUUGCUAGAGGGAAUUCAAAGCCAUGAACAUAUUUGCAAUAUGAAUUGAUUUUUCAAUUGUGAUUUCAUAAACCUUGAAUGCAAUUUACUUAACGGCUUGAUUGAUAACUUAUUCUUGUAUGUUGAUUGAGGGUUAACACUUAGUUUGCAUGCAUGAAUUUGAUGCUAGAAUAUAAGGGAGUUUCACCUAAUCGUUAUGAACUUAUAUAUUCACAAGUCGUGGAGGUUGCUGGUCACGAUCGUGUUAAGUAAAUUCCUGGCAUAAGUAUCAUGCAAUUCAUAGUUACAAGUGCCUUGCCAAUGCUUAUGAUUUUCAUAGAACUUAAUGAUCUUUGCUCGUAUCUUUAUCAUGCAAUUCAUGUAAGGAACUUGUGAGGAAUAAUUUGGGUUGUCGCAUGCAAUCAUCCAAUUCAAUGAAAAUAGGAAAAUCUGAGGGUUAAUUAGUGCAAUUCACGGUUAAUCUGGGGCGUUGAGGUUUAUGGUUUAUCGAAAGAACAAUUGAACAUCAAUUUGUAUGCAAGUAUGUCAUGUGUGGAGAAGGAACUCUAGCUAACAAAUCAUCCAUAGUUUUUCCCAAAUUUGUGCAAAUCUGUUAAGUCUAGUUUCUGCCUAGUUUUACUUAUUUUCGUCCAAAACAAACCCCCUCUUUACUUUCUUGUUUGAAAGUGUUUAAAAUUUGUUUUGUUUGUGUUUUUGAGUAUUUUGAGUCAAGCCAAAACCCUAAGUUCGUCCAAAGUUGUGUUUAGAGUUAGAAACUGCCUAGUUGGUGUUUUUAGGCAGUUUUGAGUGUUUUUAAGUUGUUUUUGAGUCUUUUGAGUCUAUUCAAACGUUUUUAACUUUGUUUUGAUGCUUUUGAGUCAGUUUAGAGGUUUUAGCAAGCCCUCCUAAUCCCCAGUUUAGAACGAUCCCUACUUGCAUUUAUACUACAAUUUGACAACAAGAGGGUUUAAUUUGUGUGCUUAUUUAUUCUGCAUCAGUAAUAGAAAUUUAAAUCAAAUCAUAAAGGGAAAUAGGAAUUAAAGUCAAAAUCCUCAGAAAAGGUAAAGGAGGUGCGGCUGAAGGGAAAUAGGAAAGGGAAAGGCUUUUAAUUGAAAAGGGAAUGUGAUUUAUGGCAGAAAAAUAGGAAAGAGAUGGCUCCCUUGCACGGCAAGGAAGAGAAAAGGGAGACAAGGUGCGGCAAGGCCUUGUAUGGUGCAAGGACCCUUUGGUUUGUGUCCUAAAAUGCAUAGGAGACCUUCAAUGUUGCUGGAACUUAGGGACAUUUAGGAUUAGGAAAGGUCAAACCAAAAUAGGAAACCUUGGCUUAACUUUCCUUCUUCAAUUAGGAAUCCUAGCAUCUUUAGGUCUUCAAUUUCGUCCAUCCCUUUAGCUCCAAGCAUGUGAUAUUCAUUCCAAGCCCAAAGUUGCUCCAAAAAGCUCCAACAUGCACUUCUUUGCUUCUUUAAUCGUUUAGGCCUACAAACACACGAAAAUGGCAUAAAGUGCAUGAAUAACUAAGAACUAACAACAUAAUUGCAAGAAAACAAGCUAACUAAGUCACAUCAAUAUGCUCCUAUCAAAUUCCCCCACACUUAGCUUUUGCUAGUCCUCGAGCAAAACAAACAAAAUAAACAACACAUAACCUAGACCUUCCAACAAUUUCCUCAGGGAUUUUCAAUGAAACAUGACAUGCCAAAGAUCGCCACUCACAUAGAUUUAAGCAAUUCUUACCCUUAAGCAUACUUAAUCAUAGUCACCAUUCACUAGCUCACAUUUAAUCAAUCAAAACAACAUUUUUAAUGGAGUAACAUGCCUUAGGGAUUUCCCUUAAUUCCUUACUAGAUAUGCACUCAAUUUUCACUCAGAUUUUCAGACUGCACACCCUACACUAGGUAUAUGUGAGAAGAUUGAUGUAAACAUGAAAACUAGUACUCACAUAUGUUUUUCAACAAAGAAGCAAUGUCUGGAAUUAUUAAUGCAUGUAUAUAUAUGAUCUCAUGAAUAGAAUGCUACUACUUAGAAGCGAGAACCAGUGAUAUCAUAUGCUCAUACCAAUUUCAAACUCCACAUAUUGAAACACACAACACUCAAGAUGGAAGUCAAGGGUUGUAACGGGGUUAAGGGUGUUGGCUAACAAAGAAAGGUAAAGGAAAACGAAUGUUCUUAAAGCAAUAGUGAGCAAAGUAAUGAGUUAGGCAUUUAUAAUUCGCUUUAGAAUGCAAAAAUCUACUUUUAAACACAAGGGAAGAUUCAUGCAACACCUUAGGGUCAAAUUCAAAUGAUGUGAAAAUUACUUGACACACAAAUUAAACCCUAUUGAUGACAAUUGUAGCAAAGAUGUAAGUAGGGAUCGUUCUAAACCGGGGAUUAACUAGGGCUGCUAAUCUACUCAAAUUAAACUCUAAAACACUAAACUAGACUUAAAAACACAAGAAUAGACUCUAUAGACUCUAAACUGACCUAAGACACUCAAAUCUGCAAAACUAAGUGAAAUUGACUCAAUUCUAAACCUAACAAGUGAAUUGGACGAACUUAAAACUUACUUUGACUCAAAAGAUUAAAAGAAAACAGAUUGUAACUUAACUAACUCAGAAAACACUUAAAAGACUCAAAACAGCACAAUACUAACAAUUAGACUCAAAACAGAUUCUAGAGAUGAAAUUGGACGAAUUUAAGACCAAACUAAGACCCAAACAAUGGUUAUGGACUAAACCUAACCUAUAUUGACUCAAAACACUCUAAAGAACCUAAUUAGGACAGAUUCUGACCUAAUAACAUAAAACAGAAAAGGGGGUUUGAUUUCUGACGAAAUUGAAUUAAAACUAAACAAAUUUCAAGUCAAAGUAAACUAAAACGAAAUUAAGAUAAAUUCAAGGGUGAAAAGCUAGUUAGAGGAUCCUUCUCCACACAUGAACAUAUGCAACAUAAAUCGAUUUCCAGUAUUGUUUCUUUAAACCAUGAACAACAAUGCCCCAAAUUAAUCGUGAAUGCACAAAUUAACUCUCAGAUUUCCCUAAAUUCAUUGAAUUGGAUGAAUGCAUGCAACAACCCAAAUUAUUCUUCUCAAGUUCCCUAUAUGAACAGCAUGAUAGAGAUACAUUCAAAGAUCAUUAAAUUCCAUGGAAAUCAUAAGCAUUGACAAGGCAAUUAUAACUAUGAACUGCAUGAUACUUUUGCCAAGAAUCUACUUAACACGAUUGUGACUAACAAUCUCCACUACUUAUAAUUAUAAGUUUCAAACGAUUAGGUGAAAGUCCCUUAUAAUUUAGCAUCAGAUUCAAGCAUGCAAACUAAGUAGGCCUCCUUAAUCAACACACAAGAAUAAGUUAUCAAUCAAAUAGAUAAGUAAAUCGCAUUCAUGUUUUACGAAACAAUAACUGAAAGGAAUCAAUUCAUAUUAACAUAUGUCCAUGGCUUCAAAUUCACCACUAACUAAUAAGAGUUUAGUUCCACAUGUUCAUAGGAAAAGCAAAUUAAAAUAAACAUCGAAACUGAAAGGAGGGAAGAAAGAACUCUUAAAACUCCCAAGGAUGCAGAUGGCUUGCGCACAAGGCCCUCCUUCAUCAAUGGAAUGCACGACAAGGCUCUCCUUCUUCUCCAAAAGGUGCGGCAAAGAUGUAUAUGGAUGUAGGAUGGUGUUUUGUGAUGUAGAAUGGUGAUUAGGGUUGCGGCAAGGUGUUUUUGAAUGGUGUGAAGGGUGAUGACGAAUUUAUGGCUGAAAACUUGUAUUUAUAGGCUAGGGUUUUCACAAAAUCUGAUGGAGAUAAAAGGCUUGGCCCAUCCAAAGGAGAAAAUAACUAGGGUUUUAUGCAGAUUUUUAGGCUUCUAGAACAUUAGGUGCGGCACAAACCCUAGGACUUUUGCCUAAUCCUUUCAUCACCCACACCAUACUCUAACCCCAUCCUAGCUCAAUACAAGCCGUACCUUAUAGCUUGGGGAAUGCCAAUGUGAUGAAGUCCAAAGGUAAAUUGAUUGAUAGAGCAAGAUUGUGGCGUGUACCAAAGGCACCUAUGUGAAGUGUGGUUCUAAAAAAAUUUGGGAGACUUAAAGAAAAGAAAAGAAAAGAAAAAAAAAAAGAGAAGAGAAUCAAGUGAAAACAAAUUCCAAAUCUCCUUAUUAUAAGACAUAGGGCUUGGACACCAAAAAUCAAGAAGAAAGAAGAUAAAUUCAAGUAAAAAGCUGGACCUCAAGGACACUUUGGUAUGCCCCAAGCUCUAGUAUUCCAUAUCACUUCUUUCAUAACCUAUAACCUAAGCCUUACAUUACAAUCUUGAGAAAGACCUAGUUGAUCAUUGAGGAUGUAUUCAUGAGUGAUGGUAAGUGUGUGUGUUAUCUAUAUUCUUAGCAUUUGAUUCAUUUCAUGAGAUCUACUCAGAAUUGUGCUUUCAUUUCAAGUUCAUAUGUGAGAAUUUUGAUUUCCUUUACAUAACUUCACUCACAUAUGUUAGUGGAGAGACUAAACCUUAGGAUCUGAGUGAGAACUUGAGUGAAAACCGUGAGGAAUAGAGUUGAGGCGAAUUCAUUCUUAAGCAUUUGGGUAUGGUGACCUUGAAGUUGUAAGACAUGGUGAAAUAUCUUUAUACAUUACAAUUGAUAUGAUUCUUUGGAAUGGCAAGGCUUUUGAGUUUGAGUGUAAAACAAAGUUUCAUGGGUUUUGAUUAGUUUGUUUAAAGCAUGUUAAACCAAAUUGUGUGCAGAUUUUGUAGAUGUUUGAGGGUGUCAUCUUUGUAAACCCUCAGGAGACACAACUCCUCCAACUAGGGACACCUAGGGGUUCAAAGGCUUGUUGCACAUGCUCAGUGCAAUCGUUUGGCCAGCGAAAGUGGUGUAGUUAGUUGUUAGUGUUUGUUAGAUGUUAGUGUUUUGUGUGUUUUAAUUCUAAGUUUGCUCGUGGACUAGCAAAAACCAGGUUUGGGGGUAUUUGUUAGUUCACAUUUCAUAUGCAUUUUAUAGCAUUCAUAUUUUGUGUCUUUGUGAUGUUUUUUGAUCAAACUUGUUGCAUUUUACAUUAUUUGGUGUUAGUGUGUAGUUAAGUUUGUUUUAGGAUCAAUUGGAAGGCAAUGAAGCAAAAACACCACAUUUUGUGACCGAGAGCUAGUUCAAGCAUGGAGAACAUCUUGUGAGUUAACUUGAAGUCCAAGUGAAGAAUUGAGGACAAGUUGGUUGCUAGAAUUUCAGGAAUUGACAAAGGGUGCAAUUCGGCCAGAUUGGGUGAUUUUAUGCAUGGCACAUGCAUUGGAUUCAGAUUGGGAGGUUUAACACACCUUGCCAUGCAUUUGGUUACCCUUUCAACCCCCUUUCUUCACCUAGAACAUUCACCCCCCAUUAGUUACACCAUUCAGCCACAUUUCACCCACUAAUUCACCCAUGCCGUGCAUUGUUAAUCCUUGACAGCCUGUCCUUGCAGAUUUCACAUGCUCCUCCAUUUAAAUGACCACAUGCUUGCCCAUUCAACCCCAUGCCGUGCACUAUCCAUUUCAGAAAGGAAUUACCCCAUCAUUACACACACUAGCACUCCAUAUUUUACAAUUGUUAAGAUCCAAUCUUGGAUCUGAAUCCAAAAGCUAUUCCAUCCAUUCCCUUUAAGUGAGCUCCUUCAAGAAAUCUGAAACUCUCGGAAUUCCAUCUUCAAUUAGACACCAACUCUACAUUCCAUUAUAUACACUACAUUCCAUAACCUACAUUCUAUCUAUCCCACUCCAGAUUCGACAUUCCUUACACAUUCAUUCUAUUCUUCUUACACACAAACUCUCCAUUUUCUGUCCAUCCUCUUCACCAUAUUACACCAACCAUUUCACCACAACCGUACCACCUUCAUUUAUACAUCAUUCUUGGAGGAGUUACACCACACUUGGAGAGCUAGCACCGAAGGCCAUUCUCAAGUGAUCUUCGAUUCCAGUUUUGCUUCAAGGGGUUUUUCUUCUCAAUUUUAUGUACACUCAUGUGUUAUAUUUAUAUGUCAAAUCUUUGUAAACAUGAAGUGUAACUAAUCUCUCUAUAGGGAUUCGAUGUAGCCUAGAAAGAUUGCCAUGUAGUUAAUUUGGAAUGCUCAGUUUAUCAUUCUAUUUCUUGUUUCAUUCUCUAAUUUAAUUGUGACUUUGUGUGUUGAUUUUAAUGCUUGAUCACCAUUUGAAUUAACCAUAAGUUGGUUUAGCCAAUCUUAGAGCACACAUCAUGCAUAACCUUGGCAGAUAUGGGAAUGAUUGAAGGGAAUGUUUGGCAAACAUCAUGCCAAGUGUUUCCUUUGGUUUUGUGAAAGUUUCUUAUGCUUAAUACAUUCUUGUUUAGGAACCAAAGUUGCACAUCACAAUUAGGUUCAUGACUAGGAAUAUUUGAUCAAAACCACACAUCAUAUGGAUGAUCAUAUCUAAGUGAAACAAACUCAAGAAAUAGAUAGAUUGAUGAGCAUAAUCUGAAUUAACAAUAUGGAAUUGAUUAGAAAAGGUGAAAUCGAAUCCCUAGCCUUCUCCAUAUUGUUACAUUCCCUAACCUCAACUCCCUUGGUUCUACCUCAUUACAUUACUUGUGAUUCAUUUACUUGUAUUCAUUUCAUUUCCGUGUAUUCAAGUUACAACCUCAAAACUGCCUAAAUUGUUUAGUUCUACUUUCUGUUAGGGUUCUUGCAAAACAAGUGGUUAUAUAGGUCUAAUUAGUCCCUGUGGAUUCGACACCCUUACUUGUGUUCUUAUACUCAACAUGUUUGUAGCACUAGGAAGGAAUAAUCUCAUCAAGCCUCCUUUGAUCUUCAAUUUCGUCCAUUUCUUUUGUUCCAAACAUGCGCCAUUCAAUCCAAGCUUCAUUUUGCUCCAAAAAGCUCCAAAAUGCAUCUUUUUGUGUAAUAUGCCCUUAAAACCUGAAAACACAUGAAACUAGCUUAAAAGACUACUUUAACUUAGAAAACAUAGUAAAAAUGCAUAAGAACUAGCUAACUAAGGUGCAUAAAUAUGCUCCUAUCAUCAAACUUUUGGACCCUUUCUUCAACAAUCAACACUUGUGAGUUCAUUCUCACUUAUUGUCAACUCUUUUUCUUUCUUUUAUUUCAUACCCGUGCCUUUCCUUUCUUUUAUUUCAUACCCAUGCCUUUCCUUUCUUUUGGCACACUAACCAUACAUAUUUCUCAUGAAACACCUUUCCCCCACAUUGAUUACUGCAAUAAUGUUACCCAAAAGGAAUUCUUUCUAAGUCAUGCUCCACUAUACUUCAAGAACAAGGGUAUAGAAAGUCCUAUUCUAGGCUAGGUAGGGAUAAUGUGGUUAACAAAGAAAAUAGGCUAAACAAGGCUCAAUCUACAAAACAAAUGACAAGGGUGGAUUCGGCUAUUUGGCUUUGGUUCACUAAACAACUUCAUCUUGAAUAUGUGUUACGCAAAUCAAUGUCAUGCUUUGAAUGGAACGAGCAUGAGUUCUAGUAUUUUGAUCUAUAAUGAUGAACGCAUUCUAAGUAGCAACCAAGCAAAGAAUAAUGAGAUCAUGCAACGACUUUAGAAAACAAGAAUGCACAGAUUAAUAACUCUCCAAAUAAACGUUUAGGCUCAAGUCUCUCAGGGAUGUAGCGUUUGUUUGAGUUCCUUCCUUCAAGCAUGUUACAAAAACUUAUUUUAUCCUUUGUGAUUACAUGUGAAUUCGUAAACUAUAACUACAACCAAGCAUAAACCAAAGAGCAUAUCAAACUUCCAUCCAUGUUUGUAACUUUCUUUAACAGUCAUGCACUUAAAAACUAAAUUCUCAUCAUUGCAUUGGAAGGUACCCUAAGACACAAACAAUCACACAAAAUAACUCUUUUUGGCUUUUUCAAAACACUUUUUUCAGAAUUUUUUUUCUUUCAAAUUUUCGGAUUUUUACUUCAACACACACCAAAACAGCUCAAAAUGCACUAAAAACACUUAAAAACAGUGAGAAACAACAUUGUAAGUGAUAGGUGAUAGAGUCCCACGAAAUUGAAUAAAAACAUUUGUUUACCCCCCACACUGAAAUCAAACAUUGUCCUCAAUGUUGCAAGCAUAAACUCACUGAUGUGAAAAUUAUGUUGACACACAAAUUAACCCUCUUUUUAUCGAUUGUAGUAAGUAUGUAAGUAGGGAUCGUUCUAGGCUGGGGAUUAGGAGGGAUUGCUAAAUCACUUGAAAACUGACUCAAAUACGUAAAAACAAGUUUAAAACACUAAACUAGACUCAAACAAUGCAAAACUAAACUUUAAAACACCAAAACAAACAAAAAGACUUAAAACAGCAAACAAACACUCAAAACUGCCUUAAAACACUUUCUGGGCAGUUUCUGACACUCAGGAAGAAUUUGGACGAAAAUUGAUUAUAACUUGACUCAAGACACUUAAAAACACAAACUAAAUUGAUUUCUAACUAGUAUGACUCAACAAAGAAAAGGGGGAUUGAUUUUGGACGAAUUUAAAAACAAAACAAAACUUUGUAAACUAAAACAGAUUUUAAAAACGAAUUUGGAUGAUUUGAAUGGAUGGAAGGCUAGCUAAGGGGGUUCAUCUCCACACAUGUCACACUUGCAUAUAAAACGAUUUCCAAUUGCUUUUCAAUAAACCAUGAAUUCUCAACGCCCCAAGUUAAUUAGGUCCGCUUAAAUUAACCCUCAGAUUUUCCUUAAGUUAUUGAAUUGGAUGAAUUGCAUACGACAACCCAAAGCAUUCCCCACAAGUCCCCUACAUGAUUGCAUAAUAGAGAUACAAGCAAGAAUCAUUAAGUUCUAUGAAAACCAUAAGCAUUGACGAAGUACUUGUUACUAUGAUUGCAUGAAACUUAUGCCAAGAAUUUACUUAACACGAUUGUGAUCAACAACCUUUACUACUUGUGAAUAUAAGUUCAUAACGAUUAGGUGAAAUUCCCUUAUAUCCUAGCAUCAAAUUCAUGCAUGCAAACUAAGUGUCGACCCUCAAUCAACAUACAAGAAUAAGUUUUAAUUCACAUAGAUAAGCAAAUUGAACUCACAACUUAUGAAACGCAAUUAGAAGUAAUCAAAUCAUAUAGUAAGCAUAAACAUGGUUUCGAAUCCCCCCUAGCCAAGGGGGGUUUAGUUCCUCAUACUCGCAAAUAAACAAAGAUAAAUAAAUUUAAACAUUAAAACAAAGAUAGAAAACACCUAGAAACGCUCCACAAUCCAAGCUCCUUGAAUGGCAUGCACGGCUCCAAGAGUUCUUCCUUCUUCUCCUUUGCAAACUCACGGCACAAGAGGUAUAUUUGGGUGAAUGCUGUAGUGAAAAUAUGGUAGAGGAUGGUGACUAAAUGGUGCAGCAAAGGAUGGUAUUUAUAGGCUGAGAUUCGCAGCCCCUAUGUAGCAAAGGAAAAGGAUUUAAAGGCCUAAUUUGUAUAGGAUAAUAACACACAAUCCUUGAAGGAAAAGGCUAAGUCUUUUAGGAACCAAGGGGGAAAGGCAUAAUCAGGUUUCUAGAAGUUCCAGAAAGGUUUAGGGCGCCAGAUUUUUAGGAGAGUAGAUAAGGCCUUCUAGAAAGCUUGUUUUGUGGCUGAUUUCCUAGAAGAACAAGGGAUAAGGUGUGGCACCUUUGUAGGAAGGGAUAAGGCUUCUAGAAAUCCCAUUUUAAGCAUCCUAAUCUAAUUAGAAACCCUCCUAAGUGGCUGAAAUGUGGAUAGUUUAGGAUAAGGAUAAGAUAGGAUAGGAUAAGAUUUGAUUGGAUAAGAUAAGCUAAGAUAAGGUUAUGGAUGAGGUUUUGGAUAAGAUUCCUUAUCUUGAGCUGAUUCUUUGACUUUACUCUUCUUCUUCACAUAGGAAACCUUGCUUGAGUAGGAAACUUUAUUCGUCUAGGAAUCCAUCUUCAAUUAGGACUCCUACAUUGAUUAGGAAUCCUUCUUCAUUUAGGAAUUCUUCGUUUAAGCCCUUUCCUACUUCAACUAGGAAACUUUGUAUCUUCAAUUCUUCAACUUUGAAAAGCCUUUCUAGCUUCAUCAAUCCCUCAAAUUCGUCCAUCCCUUGUGCCUCAUGUGCAUGAACUCCAUUUUAGCCCAAUUUUGCUCCAAAAUGCUCCAAAUUGCAUCCUUUUGCUCACUUUGUCUCUAAAACCUGAAAACACAUAAAAAUAGCUUAAAAGACUAACUUAACUAAGAAAACAGAACAUAAAUGCAUAAGAACUAACUAACUAAGGCGCAUAAAUAUGCUCCUAUCACUCACACAAAAGGAAACAAACAAACAACAAAUUAAAUACACUAAACAUUGCAGAAUAGAAACAACAAAGAAAAGGGUUUAGGAACGCAAAUCUGGAAGUGGAGUGCUUCCUAGGGCUUCCUUUGUUGAAUGCAUGGGUUGCCUCCCAAUAAGCGCUUGCUUUAACGUCUUGCAGCCGAAUGAAGAAUUCCAUUCACUCCCCAUUGGAACCCACGGCCUGAA